UACGUAGGGUGCAAGCGUUGUCCGGAAUUAUUGGGCGUAAAGAGCUCGUAGGCGGCUUGUCACGUCUGCUGUGAAAACUCGGGGCUCAACCCCGAGCCUGCAGUGGAUACGGGCUAGCUAGAGUGCGGUAGGGGAGACUGGAAUUCCUGGUGUAGCGGUGAAAUGCGUAGAUAUCUGGAGGAACACCAACGGCGAAGGCAGCACUCUGGGCCGGUACUGACGCUGAGGAGCGAAAGCGUGGGGAGCAAACAGG
rnacentral:rRNA from 1 species